CGGGGGCAAUCACCUGUAGAGUCCUGACUGAAGGCCCAGGGAACAGUGGGGCACUGGAGAUGGCCCCAAGGUCUCUGAGACUCUUUCCAAUGGCAUGUGAAGUCUAUGCUUCUUCUUCUUGAAUAGAAAAAGCUUACAAAUGCUUCAACAAACAGAAUGUGGCAGAAGUAAUGGCAUGCGCCUUUUGAAGGGAGGUCAUAAAAUGCCAUACAGUAGCGACCAAGGGGAAGCUCCAAACGUUCCCCCUCCAAACACAGCUGUCAUGCUGGGAGAAGUCCAAGCCAUAUGGAGAGGUUGCAUGUAAAUUCUGGAGUCAACAGUCCAGCAGGACACAGCCUUCAAGCCACCACCACCCAGAAAGCAGACUCAGAAGCCUCCAGAUGAUCCGUCCAGACCUCAGAUCUGCGGCACCCCAUCUGUGGAAUCUUCCUCACUAAGGCCCUGGACAACUGUGCAGCAGAGUCAAGCUGCCACCUCUGUGUCUUGCUCAGAAUUCUGUCCACAUAACUUGGCAUGAAGAUGCAAAGGAUCCAUGCUGUGAAAGGCAUAAUGGAAGAGAAACAAUUGGAAAUACCAACUGCAAACAGAGCGCAUAGUCCCGAAUGUGAAAUAAUUUACAAGUUAAUGUGGGUCAUCAUAUGAUAAGACUCCAUAAAGCUUUGAGACUUCCUGCUGCUCUGAUGUUACAAUAAUUAUAAGGGAAAUGAGAAUUAGCAAAGCAACUACCAUAACGUUCACUGUGUUCCAGAACUAAGCACCAUUAAUGCAGUAUCCCCCUAAACCAUCAUACAAAAACCAUGCGCAACAUACUCUUAUGCCCGUUUUACAGAUGAAGAAACUGAAAAUCAGAAAAGUAACCAAUCAUGUAUAUAAAUAAUGACAGUAAGUGCUAGUUGCACACAAAAUCCAUUUGCCCCUUUCUUCUUCAUCUAAGGAGACAAGGCACCCUGUUAAAGACUAGUUCUCCCAACUAACUACCCUUUCAUCUAGGUGUAGUCAUGUUAUUCUGUUCAGUCUAAUGACAUACUAAAGUGUGCUGUGGA